rnacentral:lncRNA from 1 species
AGACAUCUUCACCAGCCUCUGUGAAUAGUUCAGUAGCCUGUUUGGCUACUGUGUGAUCAUCUGUAAGGUAGAGCGGCUGAUGCCAUUCAGAGUUCGGUUAGAAAGACCAGAGAUCAUAAGCUGAAUGGAGUCCUUGAGAAUCACGAUGAUGGAGCAGAAGAAAGGAAGUGCCGGGAGGCUGGAGAGAGGUACAAUAUCUGGGAUCUGCAUCUUAGAACUUGUCUUCAGGAGACUCACCAGAAGUCAGGCCCAAAGGCCAGGAUAAAUCCUUCACUGACUAGGAUGGAAUGUUUAGAAAUUUAUCCUUGCCAGUGGGAUGCACAUUGUCCAUCAGCAGUUAUAGCUGCAGAAGGGAGAGAGGGAACUGUGUUACAUACUUGAUGGCUACCAAUUAACAGUACUCAUCAGUGAAGAUAGCCUUUAGAAGGAAGACGGUGCCCCCCGGCCGUCAGAGAUGUCCAUCUCCACACUGGAAGCCGAGCCGCACUCAGGCCAGCUAACUUGUCAUCUUUCAUGUGGCCUUGUGGGAUGAAGACAUUGAAUCUGCUGUUCCCAUAAUGACCUUCAGCAGAGAACCAGUUCAGCAGCAACCUGGGUUAAUCAGAAGCCGCUGACCCUGGGAAGAUGGUCUCAGAGGAGCAAACCUAUUUUAAGCUGGUGCACAUGUAUAGGCAUUCGUAUAUAUUGAAGACAGAGGUCAAUGAUGGAAAUCAUUUCUCAGUCAACUUAUUUUUUAGCGUGGUCUUUUCCUUGGACCUGGAGCUCCCCGACAUUGGAUUACAGAUGUGUCUCAUCACAUCUGGCUUUUUAUGCCCAAAAUAAUAAAAAGAAGAUCAUGGACCUGAAGAGCGUUUGAAGAAGUCAUGGCUGCAAACUACCAAAUUUGGUUUGCUGAGCACCUGGGACCUGUGGUUUUGGUAUUCAUAUUCGGAUGAGGCUUUGUCUGGUAUUUUGUUAUUUUGUUCAAAGAAAAAAAAUUGAAACCAAGCUAAAGGGCUGAGGAGACAGCUCAUCAGCCAAGAGCACUUGAAGCAGAGGACCUGGGUUCAAUUCCUGGUGCCCACAGGGUGCCUUACAACUGUUAGUGACUCCAGUUCCAAGGGAUCUGACAUUUUCUUUUGGUCUUCCUUUGCACUGCAUACACAUUGUCCAGACACACUCAUAGAAGCAAAACACUCAUACACAUAAAAUAAAGUAAAAA